ensembl:snoRNA SNORA73 Small nucleolar RNA SNORA73 family
CCAAUGUGGAUAACCUGGGAGGUCACUGUCACCAGGGUCUGUCCUAGUGGCAUAGGGGAGCAUAGUGCCCUGCCCCAUGAUGUAAAGUCCUUUCCAUGAUGUUGGAGUUGAAGCUGAGCUUUGAGUCUGUGCCUGCAUAUUCUAUGACUUCAUAGAGACUUGUGGAUGAUAACUGAGGAGACAACCAAUACAGGAAACAAAA